UAAACCAGCCACCUUUUCAAUUUUUUCUAUUGGUAGCCCAUAAUGCUUGUUAAUUUUGUUUUGGGUUAACUGUUGAGUAGGGUGGCUUCAGAGGGCUGUUAGUAGAUGCUCCAGCAUCUGCUUCUUGAUUUGCCACUUAAUUAUGGAUCAAAUCUUCUUGGUUUGGAGACAGUCAUGCCAUUUUUCGGAUCUUUUGGUGCAAUUGACAAAUGGGAUUCCAUAUGUGAAUGCGUGGGACAUAUUCAGCAUUUGACCAUGAGCCAGUUUGUGCAGGGCUGUCAACUAUUUGGGAAAGAGACCCUAGCUUGGGUUCUAAUAAUGUGGGGGACGAGAAUAAUUCUGCAAAUCAUAUGAGAAGUAUGCAGAGGUACAAAAGAGUUCACUAAGGGCUUUCAGAACUGCAUAUUGCAGUGGAAGGAAUAAGCUCAUGUGUUACAAAGCUAUCCAAAUCAAAGUAGUGCUCCAUUUCCAUAUGGUUUGUAAAAAUAGUCACUCCUAAGAGAGGUUUGUUAUGGUGCCCAAGUUGAAGUCAUUCAUGAAGGCACACCUGAAAGAUGCUGCAGAAAAGUCUAAUGCUGCAACAGAAGCUUUGUUAACAGAGCUUGCUCUUGAUGCCAAGGAAAGGGAUCACGGAAAUGCUAAGGU